rnacentral:tRNA from 1 species
GCCUUAGUGGUGUAACGGUAACACACUCGAGGCGUAUUCGAGAAUUCCAGGUUCGAGUCCCGGCUAGAGCA